GAUGAACGCUGGCGGCGUGCCUAAUACAUGCAAGUCGAGCGAAUGGAUUGAGAGCUUGCUCUUAUGAAGUUAGCGGCGGACGGGUGAGCAACACGUGGGUAACCUGCCCAUAAGACUGGGAUAACUCCGGGAAACCGGGGCUAAUACCGGAUAACAUUUUGAACCGCAUGGUUCGAAAUUGAAAGGCGGCUUCGGCUGUCACUUAUGGAUGGACCCGCGUCGCAUUAGCUAGUUGGUGUGGUAACGGCUCACCAAGGCAACGAUGCGUAGCCGACCUGAGAGGGUGAUCGGCCACACUGGGACUGAGACACGGCCCAGACUCCUACGGGAGGCAGCAGUAGGGAAUCUUCCGCAAUGGACGAAAGUCUGACGGAGCAACGCCGCGUGAGUGAUGAAGGCUUUCGGGUCGUAAAACUCUGUUGUUAGGGAAGAACAAGUGCUAGUUGAAUAAGCUGGCACCUUGACGGUACCUAACCAGAAAGCCACGGCUAACUACGUGCCAGCAGCCGCCGUAA
rnacentral:rRNA from 1 species